rnacentral:lncRNA from 1 species
ACCAAAACAAACAUGAAGGCAAGAGUCAGAACAAAGCAAAACAAAAUUGAAAGCACAAUGAAGCAAAACCCACAGCAUGAAAUAAGCAAUUUGAGCUGGCAAAAAAAGGUAAAAGGCACAAGAAAACCUUGAAGAUCGAAGAAUAUAAAGCCCACAUUAAGAAAGAAGAGAACUAAAAUUAUUGAAGCAGAAAAGAAAGAUCGAAGAAAGUAAGAGCAAAUAAAAAGUUGUAAUCAGGUCAGAACACUCACCCUCUCUCUAUAUCGAUUCUUGCACUUUCCUCUAAUUUUUUGUAAAGCCCUAAUUGUCAAUUUGUUUCGGAUUUUUCUGUUCUUGACUUGAUUUUAAUUUAGAUAGGCUUGCAUGCAUGAAUCAUUUGUUUAUUUACUUUUUGACGGGCAUGCACACAUGAAUCGAUGAUUUACAAAUAUAACUAAGAAAAUUCCACUGGGUGUUUAUAAAAUAUGAUUUAGAAGAUAUGUUGUUUGUUUAUUAGUUUUGAUUUUAGGAAUUGAUGAUUUAAAGUUUUUAAAAAUUAUUUAUUUUAUUUUUUAUUUCACUUAAGCUAAACGGUAGCGUUUAUUGUUUCUAAUAAUACAACAUGGACUUUUCAUUUCCCUCGCUACCGUUUUUGUUUCCCUCCAGCUUCCAAAAACCUAGACACUUAACCAAAACAAACAUGAAGGCAAGAGUCAGAACAAAGCAAAACAAAAUUGAAAGCACAAUGAAGCAAAACCCACAGCAUGAAAUAAGCAAUUUGAGCUGGCAAAAAAAGGUAAAAGGCACAAGAAAACCUUGAAGAUCGAAGAAUAUAAAGCCCACAUUAAGAAAGAAGAGAACUAAAAUUAUUGAAGCAGAAAAGAAAGAUCGAAGAAAGUAAGAGCAAAUAAAAAGUUGUAAUCAGGUCAGAACACUCACCCUCUCUCUAUAUCGAUUCUUGCACUUUCCUCUAAUUUUUUGUAAAGCCCUAAUUGUCAAUUUGUUUCGGAUUUUUCUGUUCUUGACUUGAUUUUAAUUUAGAUAGGCUUGCAUGCAUGAAUCAUUUGUUUAUUUACUUUUUGACGGGCAUGCACACAUGAAUCGAUGAUUUACAAAUAUAACUAAGAAAAUUCCACUGGGUGUUUAUAAAAUAUGAUU